rnacentral:misc_RNA from 1 species
UUUCCGUAGGCGAACCUGCGGAAGGAUCAUUACCACAACCAAAUCUCACCAUUUGGGGGGGAGAAGGGAAAAAAGGAACGCGAUUGCUGUUUCUUCUUUCCCUCUCUUUUCCGUUCCACGAAUCGCAAAGCCAAAUUAUUCUAAAGCUUCUCUGGAAGCUUUCCUCUACAACGUUCCAGUGCAAAGAAACACUUCGUGUGUUUUGCAUGAAAAACAAACAAAACAAAACCACUUGAUUCUGAAUUUCCAUUCAAAAAACAAAAGUAAAAAUGUCAACACAUUCACUUUCAGCAACGGAUGUCUUGGCUCCC